GAUGAACGCUGGCGGCGUGCUUAACACAUGCAAGUCGAACGGAAAGGCUCCUGCUUGCAGGGGUACUCGAGUGGCGAACGGGUGAGUAACACGUGGGUGAUCUGCCCUGCACUUCGGGAUAAGCCUGGGAAACUGGGUCUAAUACCGGAUAGGACCACAUUUUGGAUGGUGUGGUGGAGAGUUGUUCGGUGUGGGAUGAGCUCGCGGCCUAUCAGCUUGUUGGUGGGGUAAUGGCUUACCAAGGCGUCGACGGGUAGCCGGCCUGAGAGGGUGUACGGCCACAUUGGGACUGAGAGACGGCCCAGACUCCUACGGGAGGCAGCAGUGGGGAAUAUUGCACAAUGGGCGCAAGCCUGAUGCAGCGACGCCGCGUGGGGGAUGACGGCCUUCGGGUUGUAAACUCCUUUCGCUGGAGACGAAGCGCAAGUGACGGUACCUGGAGAAGAAGCACCGGCCAACUACGUG
rnacentral:rRNA from 1 species